UUCAUGGAGAGUUUGAUCCUGGCUCAGGACGAACGCUGGCGGCGUGCCUAAUACAUGCAAGUCGAGCGGACCGACGGGAGCUUGCUCCCUUAGGUCAGCGGCGGACGGGUGAGUAACACGUGGGUAACCUGCCUGUAAGACUGGGAUAACUCCGGGAAACCGGGGCUAAUACCGGAUGCUUGAUUGAACCGCAUGGUUCAAUCAUAAAAGGUGGCUUUUAGCUACCACUUACAGAUGGACCCGCGGCGCAUUAGCUAGUUGGUGAGGUAACGGCUCACCAAGGCGACGAUGCGUAG
rnacentral:rRNA from 1 species